rnacentral:rRNA from 1 species
GGUAAUACGUAGGGAGCGAGCGUUAUCCGGAAUUAUUGGGCGUAAAGCGUGCGUAGGCGGUUAUAUAAGUCAUUUGUAAAAGAUCUCAGCCUAACUGAGUAAAGCGAAUGAAACUGUAUGACUUGAAUACGGUAGAGGUAAGUGGAAUUCCAUGUGUAGCGGUGGAAUGCGUAGAUAUAUGGAGGAACACCAAUGGCGAAGGCAACUUACUGGGCCGGAAUUGACGCUGAGGCACGAAAGCGUGGGGAGCAAACAGGAUUAGAUACCCUGGUAGUCCACGCCGUAAACGAUGAGAACUAAGUGUUGGAGUAAAAUUCAGUGCUGAAGUUAACGCAUUAAGUUCUCCGCCUGGGUAGUACGAUCGCAAGAUUGAAACUCAAAGGAAUUGACGGGAACCCGCACAAGCGGUGGAGUAUGUUGUUUAAUUCGAAGAUACACGAAGAACCUUACCAGGUCUUGACAUACCAUUGACAGGAUUAGAGAUAAUUUUUUCCUUCGGGACAAUGGAUACAGGUGGUGCAUGGUUGUCGUCAGCUCGUGCCGUGAGGUGUUGGGUUAAGUCCCGCAACGAGCGCAACCCUUAUUGUUAGUUGCUAAUAUUAAGUUAAGGACUCUAAUGAGACUGCCAGCGACAAGCUGGAGGAAGGUGGGGAUGACGUCAAAUCAUCAUGCCCCUUAUGACCUGGGCUACAAACGUACUACAAUGGCUGAUACAAAGAGAAGCAAGACCGCGAGGUGGAGCAAACCUCAUAAAAUCAGUCUCAGUUCGGACUGGAGUCUGCAACUCGACUCCACGAAGUCGGAAUCGCUAGUAAUCGCAAGUCAGCAGAUUGCGGUGAAUACGUUCCCGGGUUUUGUACACACCGCCCGUCAAACCACGAGAGUUUGUAACACCCGAAGCCGGUGGCCUAAC